CCAAGAUCGUUGUGAAGGAAAUUUUACCCAAUAUUUUCUUCUAGGAGUUUAUAAUUUGAGGUCUUGCAUUUAAGUCUUUAAUCCAUUUUGAGUUAAUUUUUGUGAGUGGUGUAAGAUAGGAGUCCAGCUUAUUAUUUUGUUUGUGAUUAUCCAAUUUUAACACCAAUUUUGGAGAAGACUACUAAAGCCUUUUGCCCAUUGUGUAUUCUUAAGUCCCUUGUCAUGUACUCAUUAGCUGUAUAGAUUUAUUUCUGGACUCUCUGUGCCAUUGGCUGUUUUUAUGCUGGUACCAUGCUAUUUUGAUUACUCAUCUGUGAGGUAUAGUUUGAAAUCAGAGAGCAUGGUACUUCUAGCUUUGUUAUUUUUUUCUCAAGAUUAUUUUUCUUAUUCAUGGUCUUUUGUAUUUCCAUACAAAUUUUAGUAUUGUUUUUUCAAUUUCUGUGAAAAAUGUCACUGAAAUUUUGAUAGGGAUUAUGUUGAUUCUGUAGAUGACCUUGGGUAGUAUGGAUUUUUUGACAGUGUUCUGAUCUACAAACACAGGCUAUCUUUCCAUUUAUCUGUGUUCUUUUCAAUUUCUUUGAUCAUAAUUUACAAUGUAGAGAUCUUUCACCUCCUUGGUUAAAUUUAUUUCUAAGUAUUUUAUACUCUACAAUCAAGCACAUUAAUAUUUCUGGGACAAAACAAAUGUUCAUGCUAAGUGGAGUAAGUGACGACUAUACUUCUGCACCUCAGUUCAGGGUAAUUUUGUCCCAGAUGCAUCAUGAAAAAAUGUCUGGUAGUCUUUGAAUGUUCCAUCUUAGAAAUGGAAAUGAAGGAUUUGUGGACCUUGACUGCAACCAUGAAAUGAAAAGACACUUGCUCCUUGGAAGGAAAGUUAUAACAAACCUAGACGGCGUAUUAAAAAGCAGAGACAUUACUUUGCUGACAAAGGUCUUUAUAGUCAAAGCUGUGGUUUUUCCAGUAGUCAGGUACAGAUGUAAGAGUUGGGUCAUAAAAAAUGCUGAGUGCUGAAGAAUUGAUUCUUUCUGGUGCUGAAUAAGACUUGAGAGUCCCUUGGACAGCACGGAGAUCAAACCUGUCAAUCCUAAAGGAAAUCAACCCUGAAUAUUCAUUGGAAGGACUGAUGCUGAAGCCAAAGCUCCAAUACUUUGGCCACCUGAUGCAAAGAGCUAACGCACUGGAAAAGACCCUGAAGCUGAGAAAGAUGGAGGACAUGAGGAGAAGGGGCAGGGGGGAGGGGGUGGCAGAGGAUGAAAUUGUUGGAUGGCAUCAUCAACUCAGUGGACUUGAGUUUGGGCAGACUCCCGGAGAUGGUAAGGGACAGGGAAUCCUGGCGUGCUGCAGUCCAUGGGGUUGCAGAGUCGAACAUGACAUAACAACAAUUCCUGUUGUCUCCAUUUUACAGAUAGAAGCCAGAUCCACAGAGGUCAGGUGGCUUGAAUGACAGCAGGUGGUUCUGUCUGGCAUGAGCUAGUGUCAGCAUGUCAGUGACUGGAGCAGGGUCGCCCAGGUGUUCUGCUGGCUCCCUCUGUUAUACUGCUGUCUCUCAGCCCUGUAUACCCUUCCAAAUCUGCAUUUCUUCUAGCCAGUUACUGAUAAUUACCCACUAUGCCUAAGCAAAAUACCAUAUUUUCCUUUAAAAAGAAAAAAAUGGGGCCUGAACUUUGCUACCACAUCCUCACCUCUGAGAAGCUUACUUCUUGGUUUGGUCCUAUUUUCAGUGUGACAGAAUCUGACUUUUAGACAAAAGCCAUAAAAAGCAAUAUGCUUUAAUGAUAACAAAAACAUCAGCAAAAAACAUGAGGCAUCAAAAUACCUUUCAAAUAAUUUACUGUUGGAAAUGUCCAAAUCCAUGUUUUGUUUUUCUCUUUUAAACCUCAAAUGUCCAUAGCUUUUUUUUUUUU
ensembl:lncRNA